GCUUGCUUCAACAGCACACACUAAAACUGGAACAAUGCAGAGAAGAUUGGCAUGCUCCUGAGCAAGGAUGAUACCCAGAUUCAUGAAGUGUUCCAUAUUUUU
ensembl:snRNA U6 U6 spliceosomal RNA